AGAGUUUGAUCAUGGCUCAGAGUGAACACUGGCGGCAUGCCUAACACAUGCAAGUCGAACGGUAACAGGCCCGCAAGGGUGCUGACGAGUGGCGGACGGGUGAGGAAUACAUCGGAAUUUGCCCAGUCGUGGGGGAUAACGUAGGGAAACUUACGCUAAUACCGCAUACGACCGGAAGGUGAAAGCGGGGGAUCAGCAAUGACCUCGCGCGAGUGGAUGAGCCGAUGUCGGAUUAGCUAGUUGGCGGGGUAAAGGCCCACCAAGGCGACGAUCCGUAGCUGGUCUGAGAGGAUGAUCAGCCACACUGGGACUGAGACACGGCCCAGACUCCUACGGGAGGCAGCAGUGGGGAAUAUUGGACAAUGGGGGCAACCCUGAUCCAGCAAUGCCGCGUGUGUGAAGAAGGCCUUCGGGUUGUAAAGCACUUUUAUCCGGAACGAAACGCGCUUGGUGAAUAGCCAGGCGAACUGACGGUACCGGAGGAAUAAGCACCGGCUAACUUCGUGCCAGCAGCCGCGGUAAUACGAAGGGUGCAAGCGUUACUCGGAAUUACUGGGCGUAAGGCGUGCGUAGGUGGUUUGUUAAGUCCGUUGUGAAAGCCCUGGGCUCAACCUGGGAAUGGCAGUGGAUACUGGCGAGCUAGAGUGCGGUAGAGGGUAGUGGAAUUCCCGGUGUAGCAGUGAAAUGCGUAGAGAUCGGGAGGAACACCAGUGGCGAAGGCGGCUACCUGGACCAGCACUGACACUGAGGCAUGAAAGCGUGGGGAGCAAACAGGAUUAGAUACCCUAGUAGUCC
rnacentral:rRNA from 1 species